AGAGUUUGAUCCUGGCUCAGAUUGAACGCUGGCGGCAUGCCUUACACAUGCAAGUCGAACGGUAACGCGGGGCAACCUGGCGACGAGUGGCGAACGGGUGAGUAAAGCAUCGGAACGUGCCCAGUAGUGGGGGAUAGCCCGGCGAAAGCCGGAUUAAUACCGCAUACGACCUACGGGUGAAAGGGGGGGAUCGCAAGACCUCUCGCUAUUGGAGCGGCCGAUGUCAGAUUAGGUAGUUGGUGGGGUAAAGGCCUACCAAGCCGACGAUCUGUAGCUGGUCUGAGAGGACGACCAGCCACACUGGGACUGAGACACGGCCCAGACUCCUACGGGAGGCAGCAGUGGGGAAUUUUGGACAAUGGGCGCAAGCCUGAUCCAGCCAUGCCGCGUGCGGGAAGAAGGCCUUCGGGUUGUAAACCGCUUUUGUCAGGGAAGAAACGCUCUGGGAUAAUACCCUGGGGUAAUGACGGUACCUGAAGAAUAAGCACCGGCUAACUACGUGCCAGCAGCCGCGGUAAUACGUAGGGUGCAAGCGUUAAUCGGAAUUACUGGGCGUAAAGCGUGCGCAGGCGGUUAUGCAAGACAGAUGUGAAAUCCCCGGGC
rnacentral:rRNA from 1 species